rnacentral:rRNA from 1 species
AUACGUAGGGUGCGAGCGUUGUCCGGAAUUACUGGGCGUAAAGAGCUCGUAGGUGGUUUGUCGCGUCGUCUGUGAAAUUCCGGGGCUUAACUCCGGGCGUGCAGGCGAUACGGGCAUAACUUGAGUACUGUAGGGGAGACUGGAAUUCCUGGUGUAGCGGUGAAAUGCGCAGAUAUCAGGAGGAACACCGGUGGCGAAGGCGGGUCUCGGGGCAUGAACUGACGCUGAGGAGCUAAAGCAUGGGUAGCGAACAGGAUUAGAUACCCUGGUAGUCCAUGCCGUAAACGGUGGGCGCUAGGUGUAGGGGUCUUCCACGACUUCUGUGCCGUAGCUAACGCAUUAAGCGCCCCGCCUGGGGAGUACGGCCGCAAGGCUAAAACUCAAAGGAAUUGACGGG